ACCCAGCCCAAACAAACACUUCACUGUGCACCUGGACAUCGCUGCUGAGGAGGGUCAGUUGAUCCGUGUGUCGUUCUCGAACACGUUCCCUUUUCUGUGUGGAGCUGCACACGGUUCAGUGUAUGAGAAUACAGCCACUACUGCUAAACAUGGUUUCCCUCAGAUGGAACAAAGUUACCAUACAGAAAGGAUCCAGCCGUGAAACUAAAAUCUCAGCCGAAAAGAGUCCUCAAAGAGAAAAGAGUCGUGCUGUAACCAUUAAUAAACCUCCCUCAUCCAGAAGAUCACCACCCCCAAGCCUGCGAGAUGAAGCGCGCUAAGCAUCGUUCAGCAAUCCAGACAAAGCGUCUGCCUGAGCUGAAUUAUACACACUCUGGAGGGUCAGAGAGCCUGGGGUCACCAGGUCAAAGGUCGCCGGCGGCCGAACAGGCUGUGUGGAGUUCUGAUGGAGAGGAAGUUGUGUAUCCUUGCCACGCUAUUAUCAUCAGCAUGACCGUUUCCUCUGGACAACAGAGAUUCUUCAUUGGACACACAGAUAAGGUCUCAGCUCUACAGUGUUGGCAUCAGCUCAGAUGGGCUCAACCAGUCUAAUUAGUCUCUGGAGCUAAAGCGGAGGAGUGUGCCAAACCAUCAUUCCUCCACACACACGCCCUGAAUCUGCUCCGGUCAUGUGCUGUUGUCUGGUGGUCGUGAUGGUCUCAUUACUGUCUGCAUCCCCGUCACUGUCCGUGACAACAAGGGGGCGCCCAUAACUACAGUGCAGUGCACCAGCAAACAGGUUUGUGUUGUUUGUUUUUGUGGUUUUCUGUUUUGCAAGGCAAAUGACUCAACAUUGUGUGUGAUGUGGAAUUGUGGGCCAUACCUAAAAAAUAUUUGGACGCUGAAGUCACGCUUAAAAAUACAUGAAUUUGAUACAAAAACACUGAGAUCUUAAAAUUGAACUUGGUAUAAAGAAAAGAUACUGCAGCAUUUGAGACAAAAAUAUACAGAUAUUCAAUGGCAUUGUCAAAUUUAAGUGUAACUUAAGUGUCCAAAUACUUUCAGGGAAAGUUAUAAUGGAAUUGAAAUAAAACUGAAAUAUAUGUGCUGCGUUUCGGAGUGAAGUGUGGCACUGUGUUCUUUACACGCACACAGCUCACAUUGGUUUAACAUUUGAAUAUAAAGAGAACACAGCUGUAAAGAUUAGUGUUGUGUAGAUGUACUGUAAAAUUAAAUAAUGAUUUUUUUUUCUCAAAUAUGC